UACGAAGGGGGCUAGCGUUGCUCGGAAUCACUGGGCGUAAAGGGUGCGUAGGCGGACUCUUAAGUCAGGGGUGAAAGCCUGAGGCUCAACCUCAGAACUGCCUUUGAUACUGAGAGUCUCGAGACCGGAAGAGGUAAGUGGAACUGCGAGUGUAGAGGUGAAAUUCGUAGAUAUUCGCAAGAACACCAGUGGCGAAGGCGGCUUACUGGUCCGGUUCUGGACGCUGAGGCACGAAAGCGUGGGGAGCAAACAGGG
rnacentral:rRNA from 1 species